UUAGUGGACUUUCUUAAUCCCAGUUAACGGCGCUCUGUGGAGCCAGUGUUAAGAGGCUGAGCUUUCUUCUUGAGCUUUCCAGGCACUCCUUUCAUAGCUUUGAGAAAAAUAAAUUGAAAAAAGAAAUUUAAAAAAAAGAGCAAUGUCCCUUUGUUCAAGAAAGAAACACCAAAAAAGCCUCCCUGGGAAUGGGAGAGGGUCAGUUCUUUGGAAACCUCCUCCCUGCGCUGGGCUCAGGCGAGCUGCGAGCUGGGACUGUGCAGGGUCUGUCAGACCUGACUUUCCCCUCGACAGCCGCUCCACUUGGUCCGUGGGAAGGGCAGAGCUGCGUGGUGGUGCCGACCAGCUCCGCAGCCCGUGGUGCAGCUGGCAGUGACACGAUGCUAAAGAGGAAGAGAUCUUCGGAUAAAUUCCCAUUAUACUCGGCUAAACGAAACAACUGCAGGAAAAAAGAAACCCUUUGGAAGCUGUGCAUCGUCGUAGUUUGACGUGACAACGUGCCUCUCCCGCUGAGCCAUGACCUACUUUGCUCACAAAAUGCUCUCAUUACCUUCCCCCAAACACGAGGCUGCGGGAGCCUCAGGAAUUCUGCACCUCGGGAUCCGAAGUGUCAGUCACCAACAGUCCUGCAAUGGUGAAUUUCCUUGUGAAUCAGUGUGUCAGGGGCCGUGCUGCUUAUCUCAUGUAAAUAAAAUAACCCCUCUUCUCCUGCUGUUUGUAUCAUUUCCUGUCUCUGCUCCAGAUUCCAGGCUGCCCUCAGCACCCACUCUUCAAACUCACAGCUGGAUAAAUUUUGCCAUCUCAUGAAAGAUUUUGAUACUUUUUGGACUGAUUUAUUUAUCAGCCUGAUUAAAAUGUUUUGCUCUAGUAGUUCAAAAUUUUCCUUUUUUUUUUUUUUUCCCCUCCUCCUUUUCCUCUUUCAUUAUUGGAAAGGAAUCCUUUCUCUUUACCCAGUCUAUUGUGUGCAUCAAAACUUGGUAGGAUGCCUGCUCAUGGAGAAACAAGAGGCAAGAGUUUAAGCAUCAACAGCUGUAGGAAUGACCUACAACACAUGGGACAUUUGGUAAUUAUCCAGUCUGUAUUAUGUAAGACAUAAAAUCAUGUAGUUCUGCUAAAACUUGAAAGUGGAGAGAAGGAAAAUGAUGGCAAAUGACUGAUUGCAAAGAUAAAGAUUCUUAACUGUACAUUCAUAUUGUUUGGAUCUAAAAAAAAAGCCUAAAGUUUUCUUGUUGAAUUCAAGUUUGUCACAGAGCAAAGGCUCGGCUUUGAAGGAUGUUUAUUGAUAAAAGAAGAGAUGUUUGAAUCAUAAAUAUCCACAGCUGAGAAUGAUUUACAAAUGUAUGACUGCAGGGACUGGCUGUAAAAGAAAGUUUGUGCUGGGAUUUUUCUGCUCCAGUUGGAGUAGGGAAAAUCUCUGAUGCAUGUCAGAAGACAGAAGGGUAAGCUGUGGACUUUCAAAACCCUCCCACCCCCAGUGCGUGGUAUUUGAUGUCCAAAUGAGGCAGGCAUUUAUACUUCCAGAGGGUGAAGUCAUCAGAGCAGAACCAACUUACAGCAGGGGGAACUGUGAAGUUAUGUGCUGAAUAGAUCUCAGUAACGAAAAAUUAAGUCAGUCUGUCCUGCCAAUUAUGGAUGUUGAGUUGGACACUACAGGGAAAGACUGUGUUGGAAAGGCUAUCCACUCCUGUGAUUUCUACAGGGAAUUUUCCCCCCCUCUCACAUUAUUCAAUGUUAUUGAGCCUAGUAACAUACUGGAAAACCAGCUCACACACAGAGUGUUUAGGGACCCAAAAUGAAUUUACAAACUCUCUCCAGGAACUGGUCCAGUAUGUGAUUUCCUCCCUGACACUGGAACUUCAAGCAACAUUAAGGAGUCUCACUGCAUAUUUAUCAGCUUGAAAUUUGGAUACCACCAUAAUGUUGGGAAGUAGAACUGGUUUAUAAUAAUAUAUACCAUUAUUUUUGAAAAUAUGUUUCUUUGUAAUUAAGAUGUGUGCAGAAGUGGCAGAGUGAAGGCCAUGGUAUUUAGAGGUCCUGUGUUUGACACUACAGCCCAAAUGAUGAGUCCUGGAAAUUCUGUUCCAGUAAGAAACACCUUCCAUGUUUUUAAUGCUCAGAAGUUGCCAUUUGCAGUAGUUCUCAAACUCUUCACUUAUUACUUACAAAUUCAUUUUGUAUUGUGUUUUGCCUGCUUAUGGUAUUGCUUUACUUGGAUUUACAGAGCCCACCUGUGCAUAUAGAAAGAAGCUGUUUGUGCUGUAUCUUGCAGGAAUAAAUGCUGUAAUCUGUGUAUUUGGGUUAAUACAUCUUUUAUUAUUCACAAUUCCAGACAUUCUCCUGGUGAAGCUCAGCAGCUCUGCUUUCUGAAAGCAAUGCCUGAAUCAAGGAUGAAAAUUGUCCUCUGAGUUAUGAGAAACACACACAGCCCAGCACUGCCCCUCCUCAAGAAACUCCCAAAGAGCUGUCGAACCGUGGCUGUGCUGUCCCCCUACCCUGUGCCACACACUGUGUUGAGAGAACUUUAUAUGAAAUAAGUGGCAUAGAAAAUAACUCCUCUCUGAGCUUGUAGUGGCCUCAGCAACUUCCAUGGCAGCAGAGCCAAGGUGAUGUCCUGUGCUGUUCUUACCAGCUGGCUGAGGUAAAAAAUCUGCUGUGAUAUGCAAAAAUAAAAGAAGGGGAGGACUCUGGUUUAUAGCUGAAACCACAGUCUGCCACUGGAGGACAUUUAUCAGAAGUGGCUCAGACUCUGCUUGCCCUCCUCAUUUUGAGUUGUCCCUUACUCUGGAGUGCAUUGAUUUCAUCAGGGCUACUUGCACUCUUAAGUACAAACAGUUCGAAGUGAGGGUGAGAGAACUGUACCCUAAUCCCCACACUGUAUUUCAGAUCUCUUUGUCUACCCACUAAAAUUUUUAUGCCACCAGAGUGUAAAAAAAUGAUUUGCAUCAAAAAUCUUCAUCUUAGAUAAAAGAUUUGAGUAGCUGUUUAAAAAAAAUAAGUGACACUACCUCUCAAAAUGCUGCAGAUUCACCUUUCAGAUAUGCAAUUUUCGUUCUAUUGAAUUUUUUGACAUAUGGUUAUGUAAAACAUCUAAUAGCAAACUCCAUCCGUUUACACCUUCCAGAAGGCAGCGACUUCAGGAGUUAAUGUGGGAUUAUUUUUAGCAUGUAUUCAAGUUUAUUCAUGCUGAAAGGUAGUACUUAUCUUUUGUAAUUUUAGAGUAGUUAUUUGAAUAAAAACAUGAGUAUAGUUCUAUUUUAACUGUCAUGUGACAUCUGGGAACUGGUUCAAACCUCCCUCUCUUGGAGAGGUGGAAAUCUCAGCAGUUUUUCUUUCCAGCAUCUCAGUGGUACACACAAUACCUGUGUAUGUGUUGAGACCUAUGUCUGUAAAUAAUAUGAGUAACAAAAUAUGAGUAAUCUUCUAUACACUGAGAGAACAUUAUACCAGAAACAAUGAAAGCACCCAUCGACCAGAGAAAGUGCAAUUUUCAGUGUUCUUUGUAGGAAAAGCUUGUUGAAGUUAAAUUACCCCCUUGAAUACAAAUUCCAUGUUAAACUGUCACUAGAGACACUGUUAGAUAAAAAUCUGUGGCUGAGUAUUUUCCCUUGAGCUGGGUAAAUAUUUCUGUUAGCCAGCUAAGUGAGCCCUUUUUCAAGUUCAGAGAUGGUCUGUGCAGAGGUUGCAAGUUUCUCAGGUUUUGGGGUCACUCUUUAUAUAAAUCUUAUACUGUUUCUACUCUCCAAUGGAAUAGUGAAAAACAAGGGGUCUGCAAAUUCAGUGUGUAAUUUUGGUGGAAGGAGUUGAACUGUUUGUCUGAGAGGACACACAGGGAUUUGGCUGGGGCAGGCUGAUGCAAAGGCAACAGCAGGAGGUCAGCAAAAUUUUGCAAAGUUUUAUUUGUUCCAAGUUUGAUUUACAGGAAGGGGAAUACAAACCUCUUACUUAGAGACGACUGUGGGUCCAACAGUGGGAAAAGCUUUGCAAUAAAAAUAAUAAUUAAGUCACAAUGAUAAUGAGGCUGUAGUUACUCAAUGCCAAGUGAUCUCUUUGCCUUUGCAGGCAAUUCGUGAUUGUACAUUUUGAUAUUCGAGAUAAUCUGGGUUGCUCCUGCCUUGGGGCCUGCAUUGAUAGGUCUGUGCUUUAUCAUCCUGCAGAAGAAAAUAUACCAAUAUUCACAGAAUAAUGCCUUUCACAGUCUCUUUCACAAGGAAACAGGCCAUAAAAGUAUUAGUGACACUGGGUCUGUUGACAGUGAUGUUUGAAGAGGCAUUUUACAAUGUAGUUCUUCUCCUGAUCUGUAUUUCUAUUCAGUGCAUUUUGAAAGCAUUUUCCAGCUCUGAGUCUCAGUGAACCAGCCCUGAAUAUGCCACUUCCCUUGAUGACAAACUCUGAACCCUCAGGCAGUGUUUGGGAGUUGAUGUCACGUAGAGCAGGUUCAUGGCAGUGCUUCAUGAUGUGACCAAGUCACAGGAACAAGAGAGUGUGCUCGAUUUUCCCCUAACAGCAGCAGAGAAAUACAACAGACCCAUUACUGUGGGACCCCACUGUUUUCUUAGACCAUGAGCUGUGUGUGGGGUUGGGGCAGGCCCAGCAGAACUGUGCUCUGACAGGGGAGGUUGGACCCCAGCUCUGCCCAGCUCUUUCCCAAGGGCUGUACCCACCUCCCGCUGGGAUCCCAGCCCCCACAUGUGCCUUGAGAUCUUCUCAGCAUCUGGUCUGACCCCCCACAGAUGGGCAGAGUG
rnacentral:lncRNA from 13 species